rnacentral:rRNA from 1 species
GAUGAACGCUGGCGGCGUGCCUAAUACAUGCAAGUCGAGCGAACAGACGAGGAGCUUGCUCCUCUGACGUUAGCGGCGGACGGGUGAGUAACACGUGGAUAACCUACCUAUAAGACUGGGAUAACUUCGGGAAACCGGAGCUAAUACCGGAUAAUAUAUUGAACCGCAUGGUUCAAUAGUGAAAGACGGUUUUGCUGUCACUUAUAGAUGGAUCCGCGCCGCAUUAGCUAGUUGGUAAGGUAACGGCUUACCAAGGCAACGAUGCGUAGCCGACCUGAGAGGGUGAUCGGCCACACUGGAACUGAGAAACGGUCCAGACUCCUACGAGAGGCAGCAGUAGGGAAUCUUCCGCAAUGGGCGAAAGCUUGACGGAGCAACGCCGCGUGAGUGAUGAAGGUCUUCGGAUCGUAAAACUCUGUUAUUAGGGAAGAACAAAUGUGUAAGUAACUAUGCACGUCUUGACGGUACCUAAUCAGAAAGCCACGGCUAACUACGUG